UUGUCUUUAAACAAAAUCUAAGUAUUAUUGACUAAAAAACAAUCCAAGUACUAUUUAGCAAGCACAAUCCGAACUACCUAUUGAGUUUACACAGUUUAUUCAAUAAGCGCUUAUGCGAUCUAAGCACUUUCGAAUAAGCGCUUGUUGAAUAAGCGGAAUCCAAGCUUCUCUAAUAUAAACCUAAACCAAACACUAUGGGAUAAACGCAACGCUACUACAAAUUUUUUUUUUUAGCAUGUCUAAUACGGAUACCAUCAAUGUAUGACUCAAUUUCAAGCAUCACCGUCGCCAACACUGUUUAACCAAAUACCUUGUAUACUAGCACCGCUGGUUUCGUUAUGAUGCGCAACUAACAAGAAAGAUGUACAAGGAUGCCUUGUAAAUGGGUAUUUGGGAGACACAGGAUCCGGCAACUUGUGCGAUUUGAUGAGUUUCCCUUGAUGUACAUCAGUCAUUAUCCUAUGUCUUUUCCCCAUUUUUCGCCAUCCUAAAAAAAGCUUAAUUCAUUAUUUGGUCAGCAAUCGCAGAAAAGACGCUCCAACACACUCGUGCGUAUGGCUGUUCUCCAUAUUGGGCCAACCUUGUUUCGCUGACUUCUCAUGGUGCACUAUGUAUGCCUAAGUAAUUCACAACCAUUCACAAUACGAAGUGUAAGCACAGAUCGGGUUUAGGAAAGGGUAAUUGUAAUCACAUGAGUGCAUAUCCACACAAAUGUCAGAGGAACCUCUCGUUACUCCUUUUCCUCCUCAUUCUUUGCCUGCAAGGAGAGACCACCUUUUGCUCAUUCCCAUCAUAACCCUUUCGUAAAUGUACUAGUUGGAGGUUCCUCCACCUUUUUUAUCGACCAACACUCUCUGCCCAUUCGGCCAUCCGAUAUCUACUCGACCGUCGCUUCCAAUCUAUCUAUCCUCAUGUACUGCACUUGGCGAUCCAGUGGUAUGGAAUUUCGGAGCUUGAUUGAACUUAUGGCAAUCAUCA